rnacentral:rRNA from 1 species
GACGAACGCUGGCGGCGUGCUUAACACAUGCAAGUCGAACGAAGAGCGAUGGAAGCUUGCUUCUAUCAAUCUUAGUGGCGAACGGGUGAGUAACGCGUAAUCAACCUGCCCUUCAGAGGGGGACAACAGUUGGAAACGACUGCUAAUACCGCAUACGAUCUAAUCUCGGCAUCGAGGAUAGAUGAAAGGUGGCCUCUACAUGUAAGCUAUCACUGAAGGAGGGGAUUGCGUCUGAUUAGCUAGUUGGAGGGGUAACGGCCCACCAAGGCGAUGAUCAGUAGCCGGUCUGAGAGGAUGAACGGCCACAUUGGGACUGAGACACGGCCCAGACUCCUACGGGAGGCAGCAGUGGGGAAUCUUGCGCAAUGGACGAAAGUCUGACGGAGCAACGCCGCGUGAGUGAUGACGGCCUUCGGGUUGUAAAGCUCUGUUAAUCGGGACGAAAGGCCUUCUUGCGAAUAGUGAGAAGGAUUGACGGUACCGGAAUAGAAAGCCACGGCUAACUACGUG